GGAGCGGCGGCCAGGACAUCUGGGAGGUGGCUGGACCCGUGGCCUGGACUUUGGGGGGCGGUCGAGUUGGAUCGAUGAUCGAUGGGGACCCUGGCGGCCUUACCCUGGGGGACGUAGAGACGAAAAAGGAACUACGCUGUGCCCGGAAGGUGGUGGCUUUAGGUCCACAGGGAGGUGGUUGGCAAGCCGGGGGUAACAGGGGGAUGGAGGAGGAAAUCUGAAAUGCCGGUGUGAGCUCCGCGCCAAGAGAGUUGAGGACUCUGGAGGCAGGAAUCCCCCGUGGCCGCCCGCUGCUUGGCUGUGGGCUCCAACUUGGUGUGUGCUCAGAGAAGGCAGUGGUUGGAGUGAACAGGGCCUGUGCCAGGUGGGGAGAGUAGCCAAGGUGUUUGUGCAGCCUGGCCUCUGGCGUGGCCUGGGAAGAGAGCUGGAGUUCGCAGGGUGAGAGCUGCCCUGUGGCUGGGUGCCCGUGCUGGCGUCCCUGCCAGGCGGUGAUCUCACAGAGACAGGGUCUAGCUAUGUUGCCCCGGCUGGUAUCAAACUCCUGGACUCAAACGAAAGUGCUGAGAUUCCAGGCAUAAGCCAGCGCUCCCGGCCUGCAUACGGGAUGAUUCCGUGUGGACUGCCACAUCAAGGAAGCAAACAACAAGGAAAGCCUGGCGCUGCGUA